rnacentral:rRNA from 1 species
GACGAACGCUGGCGGCGUGCUUAACACAUGCAAGUCGAACGGAAAGGCCCUGCUUUUGUGGGGUGCUCGAGUGGCGAACGGGUGAGUAUCACGUGAGUAACCUGCCCUUGACUUUGGGAUAACUUCAGGAAACUGGGGCUAAUACCGGAUAUGAGCUCCUGCUGCAUGGUGUGGGUUGGAAAGUUUCGGCGGUUGGGGAUGGACACGCGGCUUAUCAGCGUGUUGGUGGGGUAGUGGCUUACCAAGGCUUUGACGGGAAGCCGGCUUGGGAGGGUGACCGGCCACAUUGGGACUGAGAUAGGGCCCAUACGCCUACGGGGGGCAGCGGUGGGGAAUAUUGCAAAAUGGGCGGAAGCCUGAUGGAGCAACGCCGGGUGCGGGAUGACGGCCUUCGGGUUGUAAACCGCUUUCGCCUGUGACGAAGCGUGAGUGACGGUAAUGGGUAAGGAAGCACCGGCUAACUACGUG